AAAUAUUGAGUUUCCUCAUUUGAAAUUGGCCUGUGCCAAAGGACCCUACUCACAACGUAAUUGCUAAACAAAAAUAUUUUUAUGGAUGAUCUGAGCCACUUACAUGUAUUGUUAUAGGCGCACACUAGUAAGCUACCUUCCCAAUUUUGACAGAACUGUCGAAUGAGGGACAGACGCAUACAGAAAAUUAAAUUCUCUGUAUCUAUAAGCUAAGGCGGCAAUUAUUAAAUCAAUCGACCAAACGGUUCGGAACCGCCUAGAAUUCCAAAAAAGCUUCCGAGUCAAUAGUGUGCUCCAUAGGCGCGUUUCCUGUUCAGGGCAGAGGAGCGUACGCCUCAUAAGGACGCAAGAACCGCAAUCGGUCUACAGACAAUGUCUACAGACAAAUUGUUUGAAAUCGAACCCAUCUAACCCAAGUUCCAGAUCUGCGAAAGUACAGGUUAGCGACUACGGAGAAUGCGUUUGCUCGGGAUUAAACAAAGUCUCGCAUUAAUAGAGAAAGGAACAGUGUGUGAUAGCAUGCACGAAAUUCUCCAUUGUUGAGCUAGUACAGGUUUUGAGUACCGCACGUUGAGCACGUCCGUCUCUUGAACUCCAAACCUGUCAGUGGCAAAUACGUUUGUUGCCAUUGUUACCAACCGGCUACAACGUAAUCAUUUGGGAAAGCUCGUCGUAAUGCGCUAUGCCACAAGUAUCAAGUCGAUGAUUUCACAUGCCCAAGCUAUAGGCAAACAGUUAUCUAUUCUUCGUUGUUAAUUCGUAGCGAAGCUGAACAUCCACACGAAAUAUUUGUAUGGAGAUCUUCACCGUAAGGGGGAUGAGGCAAAGCUUGAAAGACGUAUUUAGGCUAUAGAGAUUGGACGGCUGCAUUGGGGGGACGAACGUGGGCAUUUGCGGUGUUCGUAAUAGUGCCCCAGAAAGACUACGAAGCUGGAAGAUGGGAGGUAGUCCAGGGCGAAGGUUAAUCAAGAAGAAAUGGAGUCAAUAAAAUAUGUAUAUGUUUUUUUGUGGA